rnacentral:rRNA from 1 species
UACGUAGGGGGCGAGCGUUGCUCGGAAUUAUUGGGCGUAAAGGGCGCGUAGGCGGUGCGGUAAGUCUGUAGUGAAAUCUCUGGGCUCAACUCAGAGUCUGCUGCAGAAACUGCCGUGCUUGAGUGUGGGAGAGGUGAGUGGAAUUCCCGGUGUAGCGGUGAAAUGCGCAGAUAUCAGGAGGAACACCAGUGGCAAAGGCGGUGCUCUGGGCCGGUACUGACGCUGAGGAGCGAAAGCGUGGGUAGCAAACAGG